GACGAACGCUGGCGGCGUGCUUAACACAUGCAAGUCGAACGGAAAGGCCCUGCUUUUGUGGGGUGCUCGAGUGGCGAACGGGUGAGUAACACGUGAGUAACCUGCCCUUGACUUUGGGAUAACUUCAGGAAACUGGGGCUAAUACCGGAUAGGAGCUCCUGCUGCAUGGUGGGGGUUGGAAAGUUUCGGCGGUUGGGGAUGGACUCGCGGCUUAUCAGCUUGUUGGUGGGUAGUGGCUUACCAAGGCCUUGACGGGUAGCCGGCCUGAGAGGGUGACCGGCCACAUUGGGACUGAGAUACGGCCCAGACUCCUACGGGAGGCAGCAGUGGGGAAUAUUGCACAAUGGGCGGAAGCCUGAUGCAGCAACGCCGCGUGCGGGAUGACGGCCUUCGGGUUGUAAACCGCUUUCGCCUGUGACGAAGCGUGAGUGACGGUAAUGGGUAAAGAAGCACCGGCUAACUACGUG
rnacentral:rRNA from 1 species